UCAAUCAAAGCCACUGACAGACGGACCUAACAUCCGAGCGGAGGAUGGGACCGAAUGGAAGAGGAGAAUUGAGGAGGCCAUGGACCGAAUACGGACCGGAUUGACAUAGAAGAAGAAGAAGUUUUCACAUCCUUCUUUCAUAGCUAUCUGUCAGAACCUAAAGAACCUUUUGAUACUCAAUAAGGAGGCCUGCUAUGCCAUAACAAACAGAGGCAUAUCAGAACUUUGUCUUCUCCAGAGUGCACCACCAGAACCAACCAGACCACUAAAAUGGCCCCUUUCAGGUCCCCGAUCACAUUCAACUGAACCCCCCGAUGUCCCACCGGAUGUACUUCCCGAGCCCCCCCUCUCUCUCUUUCCUUUUUCUCCCACUCUCACACUUGCCCACGCGCUCCUAUUGGUCCACUCCCAUGCGUGCUCCCAUUGGCUCGGGGCAGGCUACUCCAUUCACAUUCUGGCACCCAUAAACCUAACUCCACACACACUAUUGGAAUAUUCAUUGCCCUGAUGACGGAGGCAGUAUGACCUCAGAAAUGUUGGUAAACAUUGACCAGACUACACAGCGCAACAACCCAGAAGACAAAAAUCUUAGGUUUCUCAAUUGUUAAAUUGAAAGGUAUGCACAAUAUGUUAAUAUUUAAAUACAGACGUUUGUUUGAUCGUAUAAUUUAAGGAUAUCAUUAGAUAAACUGAUUCAUUGUAAUCUAUUUAUUUUUCCCUUCAGGUUUGCAAGAACUAGAUUUGCGUGACUCCCGGGGAAUCACAGAUGUCAGCCUUAAGUAUGCCUUUAGUUUUCUUGAACUUCGACAUUUAAGUCUGAGUUUCUGCCGGCAGGUAACAGAUGCAGGCAUCGCAGAUCUGGCAUCAAAGAACCCAAGCAUUGAAACCCUUAAAAUGAACUGUUGUCACAGAAUCACAGACAGUGGCAUUAUUGAACUUGUGAAGCAUUUGUCAAGACUGAAACAUCUUGAAUUGUGGGUGUAUGUCACUUUAUAUCAAGCAAGUUAACUUGGCACAUAACACAUGUUGAUAAAGUUAAUAAACAAGAACCCAGGGAUGCUCCGAGCUGACAGAUGCAAGCCUUACAGCAAUUAGACAGAGAUGUAGCAAACUGAAGUUCCUGAAUAUAAACGACUGCACUGGCAUGUCUCUAGAAGGGUCAGAACGUUUGAAAUUAUGCCUGCACUCCCUGCACGGACUACACAGGCGGAACCUGCUUUGAAGAAAUUUAAUAAAUGUAGUGUAAAUGAACCUCCACCUCCACCAGUGAAGUUCUGCUCUUUAUUGUGACACUAGUAACCGCAUUUAUUUGGUGAAAAUGAAAAUUUGUCAGUGAAAUAUAAAUGUUUUUCUAGUGCUAUUUUGAUGGCAAAGAUAAUGACCAAUAGAGAGAGCUUACAGCUUAAUGAUUCAUGAUGAAAGUUUUUGAUUUUACAACAUUUACAAAACUUUGUUUGAGGUUGGAUUAAUGGUGUUGAAGUAUGGACUGGAAACAUCUGGUUCGGGACGCAGUCCGGUGAUGGGCUCUUGUGAAAACAAUAAUGAAUGGUGGAGUUCUGUGAGAAAAAGGGAAUUUACUAUCAGGAUUACAAUAAGCUUUACAGUAAGGACUCUGUUUCACGGAGUUGGUCAGAAAUGAGAAAUAAGAAGGCAUGUCAAAUCGCUACAUUGGGUCCAACCAGUCUUAAACCCUGGAUUUUUGGCUCAAGAAUCAGCACCUUAUCCCUACUUUUCCAGGUCACCCAUUUUAAGAGUGAGAACUGCUUGUAUAUCUAUGUCAAUGCCAUUAUGUACCAUUCUGGAUAACAUACAAACUAGUCUUAUGUAAUGAAUUUCAGAUUGCGGUCUCUGAUAUCCCACCAUCAAACUCUAAUGCAUGGCUGAUUUCUUGGGGCUUCAUCUAAAAGACUGUCUUACAUUUUUCAUACAUCAGACCUGUCAGUGAAUUUCCAUCUUAAAACAUUACCAGUUUCCUUAAACUGGUAAUACCAAAUUUCAAAAAGAAAUUGUUUUAUGAGUUGACGGGUUUCUACCGUAUCCAGGUGAAAUCUUACAUUGCAUUGUCAUAAAUUAUUUGUUUAAAGCAAACCAGAAGAAACGCUGCUUCAUCUUGAACUGUUCCCAUUGCACUGAGGCAGAAAGUGGCGUGAGCUUAGAUUUAAGAAGCAGACUCUAGUUUUCACACCAACAAGAUAGAAACUAAACUGAGAUUUUCUUGACUUCACAACAAAAAUAAAACUUUUUAUUACAUGGGUAUAUUUUCACAGUGCUUACCUCAAGUAUCAGCCAUGUAAUAGGGAUCAGGAUACACGUGAGUGAGAAACACAGCCUCUAAGUUUUGCUGAACAUCAUUAUUUCUCUCUUCCUUGCAGGUUUAUCUUUCGUAAAUCUAAGACAUGGGGCAAAGGAUGUUGUGCUAUGGAUUUUUAUCACCCUCGACCGGGUUUGAACCCGUGAACUGUGGGUCCAGGUCCAGUGGAAAGGACACUAACCACUAGGCCACGGACCACCGACGGUAACGUCUUAAUAUCUGAGGGAGGCCAGCCACGACAUAUGCCGAGAUCUACGGCAGUGUUUGGUGGGCGGGCGGAAUCGGUGCCAUGCAUGGGACGCCAGGUUUGCAACAGGCACAUGACACCCGUGAGUCAGGCGGCAUAGUCCGUCGAAAGUACCAGCCAGUGUGGGGUCUGCAGCCGACAUACAGCAGAAUGAGUACUGUCCGCCCGCUCAGGAUUAUAUCAAAACAAAUGGUGAACCAACGUUUCAACAAGCGGUGUUAGACAAAAGAAAUGUUAUGAAUGGUUUUGUUAUUUUUUCCAGCAGACUUUUCAAGGAAAAUAAGCUACUUUUAAACAUUUUUAAUGUAUGUUAAACGUGUUGAAUAAUUUUUUUUUUAUAAAAAUGGGAUGUUUAUUUGUAAUGAAAACCCAAAGUGAACAUUGAGUCAUCAUUACAGCUACCAAGUGUUGCACUUCCGGUUUGACGCUUCUUGUCUGUCAACUGUUUCCUUGUGUACAUUUAUUCAGUUUUAUGAGAGAAAGCCAGUUCAAAAAUGUGCUUCCAAAUAUAUCUUUUUCGAUCGGCUGCCCCCUGCCACAGAUUCGGAUAUUUGUCUUUAGGAAGAAGCCACAAUCACAUUUUUAGAUAUGGGCCUAGAUCAAUCCGUAUAAACUGCAGAAUGGGUUCAGCAUCUUGUUUCGAUGCUCCUGAAUGCCUAUCAGAUAUUCUGAAAUGUAGAGAACAAUGCUCUGCUCAAACGGAAGUGUACCCACGCAGACAAUUGCAGAGUAAUUACCCCCACACAUUCAUACUAGAAAUAUUUUUAAAAAUGGUUUAUAGAUACAAAGGAAGAAAAUACUGCAGUUAAGCCUGAAAUUUAUAGACUGACUAGCUUCAAAACAAUGAGAACGUUUCUCCUCUAGCAACAAAAGUUUUCAGUACUGGAGAAAUAUAAUAUAAUAUGACAUAAACCAAACCAUAACCUAACCUCAAUGAACUAAAACUGUUUACUCAAUGAGCACUACAAAGUCUAUGUGAGACAUAUUUUCAUUUGGUAAAUACAGAAAGAAAUUGCCUCAAUGCUUGGAGGCCCGCAGUUCUUCUAUUAGCGGUAUCUGUCUCACUUGACGAGAUUCCAGAGACUGUCCUAGCAUGAUUUCACCUUUCAAAAAUUCCUUUACAAACAUACUUUUUCACAUUUACAACUGUGUACUGCUGGAAGUGUAACAAAGGACUGUGUUUUGUAAAUUGUUUUCAGCCUUUUCAUCCCCCCCCCCAAAAAAAAAACUAUGAGGAAUAACUGCUGUAAGCCAGUGAGAGACCAGCAGGUCAAGUGAUGAAAUUUGUAAGUUAAGUUUUUUCAUAGGAGCAGUGGAAGAGUGACAAAACUUUCAACAUUUACAGCAAUGAACUCCCUGGAAACCAAAUGUGGCAGCUAAUGAACUAGCCAUGAAGUGAUGAGUCUUAUGCCAUGUAGUCUGGUAGAACUUGUCAAUGUUUCACAGGUCCUUGCAGCCUCCAACAUGAGGGUGAUGAGGCCAAAUUUCCCAGAUGAUGAAAGUAACCAGGACCUCUGCUGAUUAUGGUUCCUCCGUUAUGAUCUGCCCCUGUCAAUAAGGCUAACAGCUUUCCUAGUGACACCCAAAAUGAAGCCUUUCAGUUCAUCAGUCGCAUAAUUCUGUAGAUAUCAGCAACUGAGUAGCCAUACCUAAAUAAUUUGGCUGAAUGUUUUUCUGGCCCUGUGAUAAUCCACCAACCAACAAAAGGCACGACAUGCAUCUCUGAGUUCCUACAGUUACAUGUCCUGACCCAGAGUCACAUUCACUGUAAAUCUUAGCUGAGGACUCUCUGCUGUACUGGUAAAUGCGUUUACCACAUUCUUCAUUUCAGGGUGAUCAGGUGCCAUGCCAAAGAGUAGAGGACCAAACUGGACUGGCAUCAACUUCCGCAUGUGGAAGAGUCUGCAAGACAAGAUGACAAAUCAACAUUCCCACACCCUAUAAAGCAAUAAUAUGACAGAUUAACAGAAUAAUCAACUAAAAUUUACUUAAGUCCAUUCAGUUCCAAUGGUUAUAUGUAAAGCUCUAAUGACUAAAUAAACAAAAUAUCAGAACAUGCAA